ACUAGAAGCAAGGGCCCUUAACCACUACUCAAUCUAAGAGUAUUUCCAUACCCAUUGAGCCGCUAAUGCUACGUGUGCGUGCAUGCAUAAUAGUGCGCGUGCGCGCGGGCGUGCCUGCGUGUGUGGUUUGGUGUUUAAUGAGCCUGAAUUAACCGGGAAGUAAAAGCGGCACCAUAACCAAGAGUUAGUAUUGAUUCUUCUGGAGCUCUAACUAUCAAAAGAAACUAAAGAUAUUUUUUCUGAGGUUUUGUCCUGUAAAACUGGCCAGAGGAAAAAAAUCAGGCUUCACAUAACAAAUCAUCAGUUUCUGAGCGUCGAGGAAUUGGUCCCAAGUGGGCAAGUUUGGUGGCAGCAGGCAUAGAGAGUUACUCUUAAUGAGACAACCCAACCAAGCAAUACCACAAAGGCCUCUGAUGACACUGGCUGCUAUGAGGAUAAUGUGUUGUACGGGACAGAGAACAGUGGAGAUUCCAGAAAUAGGAGGGACAGAAAGAUAAACCAGAAGCUGGUGGUGGUGGCAUUUGAGGACAUGCUCAAACACCAGAAGGCAUUCAUGGAUAAAUGAACAAAUGAUUGGAAGAACACCCAGCAAAACCCUGAGAAGGCACCUUGGAAGGUUCUACAGAAAAGGAGUACUCACAGGAAGCCCUCGGGGUCCUCGGGGUCCCACUUCUCCUGGAGGCCCCUGUUGGCCCUAUUAUGAGGAAAGCAAGGAAAGAAAAAGUUAACACUCCCUAAUUCUUUGCUCACUGAUUGCAACAGGUUAUAAUAUAAGGAAAGGUAACUCAUGGCAUCUUACCGGUUUGCCUGAAUUCCCCAAUUGACCAGGCUUCCCUGGAGCACCUGUGUUACCCUAAAGGUAAAGAGCAACAUUCAGGGUAAUUCAGACAGCAAGUAAGCAUAUCAUCAACCUGUCUAGGCCAGACCAGGCAUUUCUGACACCUAAAUAGCAUUAAUUUCCCAAUUUCACAUUGAGAAUUUGGGAAGAUGUAGAAUCUCUUUCUUAGUGGAUACAUUAAAAAGUUUUUCAGAUUCAGGAUAAUGUUCUGUUAUUCCCACAAGUAUAGUAAAGGUGUCAAAAAGUCCAAAAGUGAAGGUCAAAUGUCAAAAAAAUGAAGGUCAUUAGCCAGACAAGAAUAUGAGAAAAGUUUUCUUUCUUCACAAUAUUAAUUAUAUGUGUCUUUCCUUUACCACUUCUGUCUCCAAUACCUUUCUUUGAGCCCUUUUACCUGACACUGACACUAUUAAAAUUAAAAAGAAUCCUGUGAACAUGAGGAGUAAGAGGAUGUGCUGUUGAGAAAAACCCUGCCAGCAAGCUCCAGGGAAAGCACAUGUCUGCGAUGUCAUCUGCACCAUCAGUCUGUCACAGUCUACUUAUUAGGGAACAUCUCUGCUCUUUAAAGAUGCUGUGGACCCCUAUAAUUAGAGAGCUGUAGCCAUAUAACCUGGUGGUGACCAAAUUCAACAUUAUUCACAUUUUAUCUAUUUUAUUCAAAGCUAUGUCUUCUCCCUUUAAUUUUUCUUUCACCUGUUGUUUUUAAUUGUGACAUAAUUUCUAUAGCUUAGUAACAAUUUCUUUAUUUUAAGUGGUAAAGAACAGUAACACUUUGUCUGUUUUCUACUGGCAAAGGAUGACACUUUCAGGAAGGAAGUCUAAUCAGCAACAGUUUGUCAAAGUAUUCUGUUUGCAGCUAGGAAAGAGAAUAGCAUUUGAAGCCAUAAAGCCUUUUUCAUUUCUGCUUAGAGUCAAAAAUAAAAGUCAGGCUGGAAAUACUAAAAAUGAUAAAUAAAACACACUAACGAAAGAAUAAAGAAAUAGAGAAAAGUACU